GUCAAAUUCUUUAGGCAGUUAGUGGGGGAGGUCAAAUGUCCUUCAGAGAAAACAAUCAAGGUGAGAAAACUGAGGAUGAGAGCCAACUACUAAAUAACUUUUGCAAGUCAUACAAUUCAUCAGUGACGACAUCAACUGAAAGGUCCUGGAAACUCACAACGUGAUCCAACAUCCUGGAGAAUCAGCCCAGCCACAUCUCAGAUCAUUGUGGUCUUGCAUUCAGACCCAGAAGAAGGCUGCAUUUCAGCAUUAAUCAGGGAAGAGGAAGAAAAUAACAUUAAUUUAGAAGCCUUCAUGUACCAGAAGAGGAAAUUAGGACACAGACACACAGAGGAAAGACCAUGUGAGGACAUAGGGAGAAGACAGCCAUCUACAAGCCAAGGAGAGAGUUCUCAGAAGAAACCAACCCUGCUGGCACCUUGCUCUCAAACUUCCAGCCUCCAGAACCAUGGAAAAAUAAAUGUCUGUUGUUUAGGCCACCCAGUCUGUGGUACUUUGU